GCCUCAGUAGCUCAGUGGAAUAGAGCAUCGCUCUUCUAAAGCGUUGGUCGCUGGUUCGAAUCCAGCCUGAGGCG
rfam:Synechococcus phage S-CAM7 isolate 0910CC49, complete genome.